rnacentral:lncRNA from 1 species
GAGUUCAGCAAAUGGAGGCGCUUGGAAAAGGCUGGGACGCAGGCAGAGGAACGGAUUUCCUGGCCUACGAACACCCUGGCUCUUGUUUCGCGGGUGGGGUGGGGGUGGGGUGCUUUUUUUUCUUAAAGCAAAUACGUACAGGUCAUUUACUGGGUGUCAGGCCCUGCAGGAGUGAUUGAGUGGGUGAGCAGGAACUCCAGGUCCUGUCCGGGUCACUCUGACCUCAAUAGCAGUGAGGGAUUUUUUAAGGCAGCAACAGGAUUUCUGGUGUCCAGUGCUUGAAAACUCAAGGGAAGAAAGCCCCCAGCUCUCAAACCAAGCAAGGAUCUUUGUCUCUAGGUAAGAGGGGCUUUGCAUUUCUUUAAACCCUCUUCCUUCCUUAACAGUGAGUUUUAAAAUCCUUGCUGAGGACUGAGUUAGCCACCCCGUGUGCUGGGGAUACAGUAGACACAAUGAGUCUUUAAGACCUUGGCUCCCAAAGCAGACGAACCCGUAAGCAAGCAAGUAUAUGCUAACCUAAUGUUGGUCUGGUAGGAUUAACCCCACCCAUCGCAGUGCAUACGAGGGAAGCAGGUGUCUAGGGUGAGACUGGAACUCACCCUAAGUACUUAAGUGAUACCCAGGGACAGAAGUGAUAGAGACAUUCCAACCCCUGAGCACUGAGCCUAUUUCCACACAAACCCAUCCCUGGACUGCUCCUAGGAACCACUGUCUACUAUAUAGUUAAAUUCCCUUCUGUGAAACUGUAUCCUAGAUUCUGGCUGAAGUUAGGAACUAGGGUCCUAUGUAGCCCAGGUUUUAGUUAUCUGUUGCUUGGUUUCGGACUGGUGUGUGUGGUUUGGGGGUUGGUUUUUUUUUUCUUUGUAUUUUUAAAAUGUUUUAAAAAUUCAGAAUUCCAGGAAAGACUUUUUUUUUUUCCUCACUAGGCUAACAGAACAUGUGGUUCCAACAUCUGGGGUUUGUAGCCUGCAAAAAUCUAAUCAUGAAGACAGAGAGAUUGUCACAAAUUCCCAUAACGCACUUUGGGUAUCUCGGCUCUUGGCCUGUUUGGAGCAGGUAGGGAUGAGAGCUAAAAGCUGCCUAGCUCCUCUCAAGGUUGGUGUUUGGCCCCUUUUGUCUAGAUGGGGAAAAAGAGUUCUUCAUAAGCACUCUUAUCUCUACCUGUUUUAUCUGAUAAACAAAACAAUACAGGCCAGCAAGACAGCUCUGGCUCCACAGGUAAAGGUGUUUCCUGCCAAACCUAAUGACGCGAACCCACAGGGUAAAAAGAGAGAACUUAAUCCUACAAGCUGUGUCCUCUGAGCUACACACACACACAUACACACAAGCUACACACACACACAUACACACAAGCUACACAUACACAUACAAUAAACAAAUAAAUAAAUGUUUUAAAAGCAUA